ensembl:snRNA U6 U6 spliceosomal RNA
GCAGCAGCCGACAGCACAUAUAAUAAAAUUGGAACAGUACAGAGAAGGUUAGCAUGGCUCCUGCACAACGACAACAUGCAAAUUCAUGAAGUAUUCCAUAUAUUU